UAAAGUUGUUGCGGUUAAAAAGCUCGUAGUUGAAAUUGUGCCCUGCGGUGUCGGUCUACCGAUUGCGGUACGACAGGCACGUCUGCGGGGCUUCUCGCCGGUGCGUCCACCGCCGAAGUGCCGCGGUCGGCCUUACGGGUCGGCCGCGUGCGCAUUGGCGGGCCGUCGCGGCUGUUUACUUUGAACAAAUUAGAGUGCUCAAAGCGGGCUAACACUCGCCUGAAUAUUGUACGCAUGGAAUAAUAGAAUAGGACCUCGGUUCUGUUUUGUUGGCUUUCUGAUACCAGAGGUAAUGAUUAAUAGGGACAACUGGGGGCAUUCGUAUUGCGACGUUAGAGGUGAAAUUCUUGGAUCGUCGCAAGACGGACUAAAGCGAAAGCAUUUGCCAAAGGUGUUUUCAUUAAUCAAGAACGAAAGUUAGAGGUUCGAAGGCGAUUAGAUACCGCUGUAGUUCUAACCAUAAAUGAUGCCAGCCAGCGAUCCGCCGAAGUUUCAAAAUUUUAACCCGGUGGGCAGCUCCCGGGAAACCAAAGCUUUCGGGCUCCGGGGGGAGUAUGGUUGCAAAGCUGAAACUUAAAGGAAUUGACG
rnacentral:rRNA from 1 species